UGCACUUUUCAGUUUUUGUUUUUGGAUUUAUAUAAUUUUUUUGUAAUGAUAUACUACUACUUUAGUUUUUCCCUUUUUCUAUAUAUACCUCUAUGAUGCAUGAUAUGAUAUUACCAUUGACAAUGUUGACCAUAGUUAUGACGAUGCAUGGUACGAAUAGUGGCAGUCAGUGCCUUUACUUAUGUGGUUGAAUUGUACUAGUACUGUCACUAAAAUUUACUGUACCUUUUGCUUUAGGAAGGAAAUGCUUUUGUAGUGUCAAUUUUCUCUCCAUAGUUCUAGAGGAAUCACCCUCAACCCUUGGC
rnacentral:lncRNA from 1 species